UAGAGUAUAGCAUAAAUCAAUGUAUUUCGCUUACACCGAAAUGAUAGCUACGUUAGCUUACUCUAA
rnacentral:tRNA from 1 species